rnacentral:rRNA from 1 species
CAUAAGCGCACAGUGCUGCAUGGCACAGUGUGAAANACUCCGGUGGUAUGAGAUGGACCCGCGUCUGAUUAGCUGGUUGGUGGGGUAACGGCCUACCAAGGCGACGAUCAGUAGCCGGCCUGAGAGGGUGAACGGCCACAUUGGGACUGAGACACGGCCCAAACUCCUACGGGAGGCAGCAGUGGGGAAUAUUGCACAAUGGGGGAAACCCUGAUGCAGCGACGCCGCGUGAGCGAAGAAGUAUUUCGGUAUGUAAAGCUCUAUCAGCAGGGAAGAAAAUGACGGUACCUGACUAAGAAGCACCGGCUAAAUACGUGCCAGCAGCCGCGGUAAUACGUAUGGUGCAAGCGUUAUCCGGAUUUACUGGGUGUAAAGGGAGCGUAGACGGUUGUGUAAGUCUGAUGUGAAAGCCCGGGGCUCAACCCCGGGACUGCAUUGGAAACUAUGUAACUAGAGUGUCGGAGAGGUAAGCGGAAUUCCUAGUGUAGCGGUGAAAUGCGUAGAUAUUAGGAGGAACACCAG